GGUUACACGGGGAUUUGAACCGGCGAUCCCCAUGUUGGAGCUUGUCGGAACCGAUUUGCCUCCACCGUCUGCACUUGGGUUUUCCUCUUUGCUACACCCGUGACACUGGGAACGCCUUGGGAUCCGCCAGGAGGAGCUGGAGGGCAUUGCUGGGGAGAGGGAUGUCUCGAGUGCUUGCUGCAACCGCGACCCGACCCGGGAGAAGCGGCUGAUGGGACUGGCUGACAGACCCACUGUCAAAAUGCUGAUGGCUG